rnacentral:rRNA from 1 species
CAGCCGUAAACUAUGCUCGCUAGGUGUCAGGCAUGGCGCGACCGUGUCUGGUGCCGCAGGGAAGCCGUGAAGCGAGCCACCUGGGAAGUACGGCCGCAAGGGCUGAAACUUAAAGGAAUUGGCCGGGGGAGCACAACAACGGGUGGAGCCUGCGGUUUAAUGGACUCAACGCCGGACAACUCACCGGGGACGACAGCAAUAUGUAGGCCAGGCUGAAGACCUUGCCUGAAUCGCUGAGAGGAGGUGCAUGGCG